rnacentral:lncRNA from 1 species
AAGCCUGGAGGCACACCAAUCAUGAGCCUGUGCGUAAGCCUGUGCGUACCCCUAGACACUCCCCUUAAGCUGCCCUAUAAGAUCUUUUGGGAGCCCGUAGGAGCCGUCUUUUCUAGCCGUCCGCCAUGGCAGAUGUGAUGAAAAAAAGGAAGCUCAUGUGGCCCCAGCACUGGGAAGACCAGGGCAAGAAGAUUCCCCUGAGUUCCAGAUCAACCCGAGAUACAGUGUGAGACCCUGCUCCCAGCCCCCUAGAAAGUGAAAAGCCUUCAUCCAGUGGCUGAUGGAAGCAGAGACAGACAGCAACAGCUAAACACUGAACUGAACUCUAGACCCAGUUGCAGAGAGGGAAGAGUGAUGAGCAAAGAGGUCAAGACCGGGCUGGUGAAACCCACAGAAACAGCUGACCUGAACAAGGGAGAGCACAUGGACCCCAGACUUACGGCUGGGAGGCCAGCAUGGGACUGAUCCAGACCCCUGAACAUGGAUGUCAGUGAGGAGGCCUUGGCACUCUAUGGGGCCUCUGGUAGUAGGAGGAUUACUAGGAGUUCAAGGCCAGCAGCAUGAGCU